CGGCUCAUCACAUCCUGGGGCUGAAGUAGGUCCCAAGGGUAUGGCUGUUCGCCAUUUAAAGUGGUACGCGAGCUGGGUUUAGAACGUCGUGAGACAGUUCGGUCCCUAUCUGCCGUGGGCGUGGAAGAUUGAGAGGGGUUGCUCCUAGUACGAGAGGACCGGAGUGAACGCACCACUGGUGUUCGGGUUGUCAUGCCAAUGGCAUUGCCCGGUGUACAGCUACGUACG
rnacentral:rRNA from 1 species